UCUGUGGGUGGGUCUGGAAACGAAUUCAAGGUACAAAACCAAGCAUCUAAUUUGAAAUUUGGGAAGAACAGUUGGUUUGUGGCAGUUCCUAGGAAGACAUGAAGAGAGAGAAACCCCUUCUGUGUUUCAUGGACUCAAAGCCUAGGAGGGGAGAAGGAGAUCAAGCCAACCUUCACCCCAUGCAGGAAAUCUCCUACAAGCUGAUAAAGAGAAAUAUCACAGCUCACUUACGGAAAACAUAAAUUUCCAAUAUUUUCCUGCCAUCAUCCUUCAGUCUGUUGUCUGAUGAACACCUCCUUUGAGCAGUACAACUCUUCUCUAGUUGAGUGAGGGAAUUACAAACAGAACAGUAUUCCAUCCUCAAGUGUCCUACCUCAUGCACAAGAAUCACCAUCACUGCUGUCACACCCAUUGUCAACAUUGGAAGCCCCAGGAGAAGACAACAGAGAUCUGGUGGUGAUUAUGUUGGCAAGUUAUUGCUGUUAUGAAAAGGGAUGGUGAUGUUGUGAUGAUGAUGAGGGUGACCGCGCUCCAGAAGUCAGAACACUGAAUUCUGAAGUAGUGGGAGUAGCCUGUAGCUGGCCCAUGGAUGAGUCUGCCCAUGUCUUAUUUAAUGGGAUUCUUCUACACAGAGACCCUUGUGGAAUCCAAUUUACAUAGGGACCCUGGUGAUAUCACUAUCCAAUCUGAGGUAAUAUACUAACCAAUCACAGCCAAUAGGCUUCCACUAUAUAAGUGGUUGCUCAUGUGCAAUAAAGUAGACACUGUUCUCUGAA